CCGCGUCAGCACCCGUGCUGGCUGACAACCAAAAUCAUAAAAAUUUCCUUAUUGACUGGCCGGUAGUGAUACCGGCCAUUUUUUU
rnacentral:sRNA from 1 species